rnacentral:tRNA from 1 species
AUUAUAAUAGCUUAACUUUAGAGCUUGAUAUUGAAGAUAUCGUGGUGAUUAAUUAAUCUUAUAAUA